CCUACGGGCGGCUGCAGUGGGGAAUAUUGGACAAUGGGGGGAACCCUGAUCCAGCCAUGCCGCGUGUGUGAAGAAGGCCCUCGGGUUGUAAAGCACUUUCAGUGAGGAAGAACGCCUGGUGGUUAAUACCCAUCAGGAAAGACAUCACUCACAGAAGAAGCACCGGCUAACUCCGUGCCAGCAGCCGCGGUAAUACGGAGGGUGUGAGCGUUAAUCGGAAUUACUGGGCGUAAAGCGCGCGUAGGUGGCUUGAUAAGCCGGUUGUGAAAGCCCCGGGCUCAACCUGGGAACGGCAUCCGGAACUGUCAAGCUAGAGUGCAGGAGAGGAAGGUAGAAUUCCCGGUGUAGCGGUGAAAUGCGUAGAGAUCGGGAGGAAUACCAGUGGCGAAGGCGGCCUUCUGGACUGACACUGACACUGAGGUGCGAAAGCGUGGGUAGCAAACAGGAUUAGAUACCCGAGUAGUC
rnacentral:rRNA from 1 species